rnacentral:rRNA from 1 species
AUUGAACGCUGGCGGCAUGCCUUACACAUGCAAGUCGAACGGCAGCACGGGUGCUUGCACCUGGUGGCGAGUGGCGAACGGGUGAGUAAUAUAUCGGAACGUACCUUAUUGUGGGGGAUAACGCAGCGAAAGCUGUGCUAAUACCGCAUAAUCCCUAAGGGGGAAAGCGGGGGACCGUAAGGCCUCGCGCAAUUAGAGCGGCCGAUACCUGAUUAGCUAGUUGGUGAGGUAAAGGCUCACCAAGGCAACGAUCAGUAGCUGGUCUGAGAGGACGAUCAGCCACACUGGGAUUGAGACACGGCCCAGACUCCUACGGGAGGCAGCAGUGGGGAAUUUUGGACAAUGGGGGCAACCCUGAUCCAGCAAUGCCGCGUGAGUGAAGAAGGCCUUCGGGUUGUAAAGCUCUUUUGUCAGGGAAGAAACAGCAGCUCUAACACAGUAUGCGAAUGACGGUACCUGAAGAAUAAGCACCGGCUAACUACGUGCCAGCAGCCGCCGUAA